rnacentral:snRNA from 1 species
GUGCUCGCUUUGGCAGCACAUAAACUAAAAUUGAAACGAUACAGAGAAGAUCAGCAUGGCCCAUGCACAAGGAUGACAUGCAAAUUCAUGAAGCAUUCCAAAUUUUU